AUUACUUCAGUCAACAGCCCAACCAUUCAUAAAGUAGUACACACACACACACACACACACACACAUGGAGUUUGAUCCUGUUGUGCAUGUAGCUAUGUAAGUAACCACUAACUAGACAGUAUUGAUCCUCAGCCAUGAUGACCUGUGGUCCACUGUUAACUAAUAUGGACCACAUGACAUGAUCUAGUCAGUUCUAUAUUGGUCCACUGUCUAUUUAUUUUAUUUAUUUAUUUCACCUUUAUUUAACCAGGUAGGGUAGUCGAGAACAAGUUCUCAUUUACAACUGCGACCUGGCCAAGAUAAAGCAAAGCAGUUCGACAACAUACAACAACACAGAGUUACACAUGGAGUAAAAACAAACAUACAGUCAAUAAUACAGUAGAAAAAUAAGACUAUAUACAAUGUGAGCAAAUGAGGUGAGAUAAGGGAGGUAAAGGCAAUAAAUAGGCCAUGGUGGUGAAGUAAAUACAAUAUAUGUUAUAUGUCUAUAUGUUAUCUAUUGGUACAGACUAACUAACAGUAGGAUUAGGUCUACUAUCUAUCUGUUAUCUAUUGGUACAGUCUAACUAACAUUAGGAUUAGGUCUACUGUCUAUCUGUUAUCUAUUGGUACAGUCUAACUAACAGUAGGAUUAGGUCUACUAUAUAUCUGUUAUCUAAUGGUACAGUCUAACUAACAUUAGGAUUAGGUCUACUGUCUAUCUGUUAUCUAUUGGUACAGUCUAACUAACAGUAGGAUUAGGUCUACUAUCUAUCUGUUAUCUAUUGGUACAGUCUAAUUAACAGUAGGAUUAGGUCUACUGUCUAUCUGUUAUCUAUUGGUACAGUCUAACUACCAGUAGGAUUAGGUCUACUGUCUAUCUGUUAUCUAUUGGUACAGUCUAACUAACAGUAGGAUUAGGUCUACUAUCUAUCUGUUAUCUAUUGGUACAGUCUAACUAACAGUAGGAUUAGAUCUACUAUCUAUCUGUUAUCUAUUGGUACAGUCUAACUAACAGUAGGAUUAGGUCUACUAUCUAUCUGUUAUCUAUUGGUACAGUCUAACUAACAGUAGGAUUAGGUCUACUAUCUAUCUGUUAUCUAUUGGUACAGUCUAACUAACAGUAGGAUUAGGUGUACUAUCUAUCUGUUAUCUAUUGGUACAGUCUAACUAACAGUAGGAUAAAGACUAGUGACGUCAUCGUUAGGUUUUGGUUUUUCCUGACCAUGUGACCUAACCAGGACUAACUCUAGGUUCUAUAGGGUCCUGUACCAAGGGCCAAGAGUACAGGACCCUUACCAACAGACCCCUCCCCUCUCCCCCCUCCCCUCACCUCCUGACCCUCUCUCCCCUCACCC
rnacentral:lncRNA from 1 species